rnacentral:sRNA from 1 species
UUCUUUCUCUUCCUCCGACAGAACCUCAAACGGUCGGCCAUCUAUAGAAACAAAUGGAUUAGAUUAUAAUGUCUGUCGUGUUCACAGUAACAUACAACUUUAACAAGUAGGAAUUUGAAAGCUCUUGUGACAACGCGUUUAAAAAAAAUACGCAGUCAUACUUUGACAAAAAAAAAGUGCGUUAAAUUUUGAACCAAAAACAAAAAUGUUCAAAAUGCGUUAAAUUUUGACCAAAUUCAACUGUAAAUUUUGAGUUAAAGUAUGGAUGGAUGAAGUAUUUUAAGUAUCCUAUUCCUUCUUGAAUCUUUUUAAAACGGUAAACUAUUCUGACCUUUCUUGUGUUUUUCAGUCGUGUCCGGGGCGUCCGUCUCAUCUCCGUCAACCUCCACGUCACUGUACAGCGACACCUGGCGGGAAUACCUAGUCUCCCUCUGGGACCGGAAACUGCCAUUCACUACCUGUUCCUUCACUUCCUCCCGGGAGGUGAUCCUUCGGACUAACCGUCGUCUUCCCCUGUUUGGGGACGAUAAGUCUAGAGAAAGGCCGCCCUUGUCAGUACGAGCAGGUGCGUGCUCUUUCCUUUCACCGGUAGUAGAAUUAUCCCUGGAAAUUUCACCGAAAAUCAUAGAUUUAAACACGGCAUCCACAGGGUUAAGUGUCCCAUCCACAUUGUCCUGGGGGUGAAUGGACACCCCUGCCCCACGGGCUCCUGGGGUACCGAUGUUCUUUGUGUCCCCCUCAGCUUUGCCUGUCGUGCUUUUGCUGUGGUCCUCAUCACCUUUACGGAAAAAGAAACGAAUCCUUUGAGUGAGUCGUUUAAGUCUUUUAGCUUUCAUGGUUCUAAGUGAUCUGGGCAUUUACAAACAACUCUCUCUAUAUUAACAGGAGAAGUGAAAGUAGAAAAACCCAUAGAAUGGGACAGUGUCAGAAUGAAGCAGGUGAUUACAGCGAUAACGUUUAUAUACCCAAUACAUGUACAUGUUCGCGCAUGCCCACCAUGUGUCCCGACCAAUUAAUUACUAGCUAAUAUGUAGGACAUGCAAGAAGUGAAAGACCUUAGAACCGCGCGCGAUUUCACUCGUAAAAUCAAUACAACAUAGAGAAAUAAAGUGAGUACAAUUCACAGCUCGGUCUAUGGCGGAGGACAUUGACCCCGAGAUCGGCGCGGAAGUCAAUAACUUCUCAGAUACAGAGGCUGACCAGGAGGUGAAGAAUUAGACGAGCGCCAUUGGCUGAUGGUGUCAAUGAUCGAAGAGAACUAUUAUAUACAGGUUUAUAUAUCGAACGAACGGUCUGAAAUUAUAAGGAGGGUUUCUUCUUCAUGUACAUGUAUUACCAAUGAUUUUCAGAAUAUAAUUUUAAACAGCUACAUUAUUUGUAGGGGCUAUUUUCUUCGCAAUGAUAUACAUUCAUAUUAAAUUCAAAGAAAAUUAUGUGAAGACAGCCUGAUAUACAUGUAUACAUAUUAAUACGCCCUACUCCGAAACAAAAUCU